rnacentral:rRNA from 1 species
CCUACGGGGGGCAGCAGUGGGGGAUAUUGCACAAUGGGGGGAACCCUGAUGCAGCGACGCCGCGUGGGUGAAGGAGCGUUUCGGCGCGUAAAGCCCUAUCGGCAGGGAAGAAGAAAUGACGGUACCUGAGUAAGAAGCACCGGCUAAAUACGUGCCAGCAGCCGCGGGAAUACGUAUGGUGCAAGCGUUAUCCGGAUUUACUGGGUGUAAAGGGAGCGCAGGCGGCACGGCAAGCCUGAU